CCGCAGUACAUAGCUGUAUGUUCUAGUUGUGAGUGCCUCUGGUUGUGGCAUGUGGGAUGCCGCCUCACUGUGGCCUGAUGAGCGGUGCCAUGUCCGCACCCAGGAUCCGAACCGGCGAACCCUGGGCCUCCGUCCGAAGUGGAGUGCACGAACUUAACCACUCGGCCCUGGGGCCGGCUCUGAGUUGUCUUUCACUGUUGUUUGCUUUGAUGAGCAGAAGUUUUUAAGCUUGAAUCCAGAAUUGAGAAGGAAACAAGAACAACGGCAGGAGAUGCUCCCUUCCUCUGCUUGAAGUCUCGGCUUAACAUCGCUCUGUGAGAUUAUCAGUGGACCUGAAAAUGGGAAGAGUCCGUCCUUUGAUUUGCCAAAAUGUAUCACCAAGAACUAACACACAAAGCUUAAAGCUUAACAGCAUACGUUUGUAGUCACGUAGACUUGAGUUCAAAUUGUGGCUCUGCCAUCACUGGCUCCUUGACCUUAGAAAAGCCAAUAACCUCUCUGUGGUCUACAAAAUGGGGAUUACCACUCCACCCACCUUAUAGGGCUGUAAUGAAGACGAAACACAAUAACACGUCACAGUGGUUAACGCAGUACCCGACUCAACGCAAACAGCUGGAACCAGAGCAGACUUAAAAGCAGAGUUAAACUCAACACUCCUUGCUAAGGAAACCCGAUCAUGAUUCUCAGCCGAGGCCAUCUCCAGCAUCCUGUCUGGGACCGGGCAGAGGGUUAGCUGAGAGAUGCUGGGAAGUCCGCUUUGGCUGGUGGUUCCAACAACACUUCUAGUCCUGAGACAAAAACCAGGAGAGUACAGUUGUUCCUGAUUGGUGGUAAGAUAACACUCAAAUUGAAAACGAUGAUUCGUCAGCUUUAUGGAGAGAACACAGGCUCACACCUCCCAAUAUGUCUCAGUCUGCAAUUAAUUGUCAAUGUGCCAUUAGAAGCCAGCCUCACAGUUAUUAAACAAAGCAAAGAUGGUGAAAACAAAACAAGUUUAUGAUCUACAACAAAGAAAAAGAGCCAAUAGAAUCGGGGACAAUACUCCAUGUGAAAAAAUAUUGUCCAACUGGAAGAGAGGAAGCAACUGAUUAUUAUGCAAAAAAAAGAGGCAACUACAAAAAAGAAUGGGGAGAGGAGGAAAAGGCACACGGAUUGAAACAAUCGUGGUCAGAAAGAGCAGGAGCUGAUGUCAUACUUGGCACUCGCUGAAGUAAUACUCAUUCCUCUGAGGGAUGGUUGAAUACGUUAAGGAAAAAUAAAAAAUAUACUAUUUGCAACCAUACCAGACUUGAUCAGGAAUGAACUCCAGAGACAUCUAUGCAUGUGGAAGAAGAUAGACACCAACCAGUUUGCGUCACAACCUGGCUGUCACGUCCCACUUACCGAAGAACUUACCACUGACGGUUUGAAAGAAAAUGCAUAUUUGUUUUUAUCAAAUAAACUCA
rnacentral:lncRNA from 1 species